UAAUUCGAGUCAACAGGGUCGUU
rnacentral:miRNA from 2 species